UUAAAGUAGUAAGGGCGCAGGGUGGAUGCCUUGGCACUAAGAGCCGAUGAAAGACGUGAUAAGCUGCGAAAAGCUUCGGGGAGGAGCACAUAUCCAAUGAUCCGGAGAUAUCUGAAUGGGGAAACCCGGCAGAGGAAACCUCUGUCAGCGUGCAGUGAAUACAUAGCUGUACGUGGGGAACCCGGGGAACUGAAACAUCUAAGUACCCGGAGGAAGAGAAAGAAAAUUUAUCGAUUUCCAAAGUAGCGGCGAGCGAAAUGGAAAGAGCCCAAACCGUGAUGCGUGCAUCGCGGGGUUCGGACUGCGUUGUGGCAGACGUAAGAUAGGAGAACGGACUGGGAAGUCCGGCCGGAGAGAGUGAAAGCCUCGUAUCCGAAAUCCCAAGUCGCCUGGCAGGAUCCAGAGUAGGACGAGACACGAGAAACCUUGUCUGAACGAGCGGGGACCACCCCGUAAGGCUAAAUACUUCUUAGUGACCGAUAGCGCAUAGUACUGUGAAGGAAAGGUGAAAAGUACCCCGGGAGGGGAGUGAAAGAGAACCUGAAACCCUGUGUCUACAAGCUGUGGGACCUCUUUAUAUGAGGGACUGCGUACUUUUUGUAGAACGGUCCGGCGAGUUGUGCGUACUGGCGAGGUUAAGGACUUAAGGUCUGGAGCCGAAGUGAAAGCAAGCGUUAAUAGCGCGUCAAGUCAGUGAGUGCAGACCCGAAACCGGGUGACCUAUCCAUGUCCAGGUUGAAGCUUCCGUAAGAGGAAGUGGAGGACCGAACCCACAUCCGUUGAAAAGGGUGGGGAUGAGGUGUGGAUAGCGGAGAAAUUCCAAUCGAACCCGGAGAUAGCUGGUUCUCCUCGAAAUAGCUUUAGGGCUAGCCUCAUGAGAGUCUUAUGGAGGUAGAGCACUGAAUUGCCUAGGGGGCGUCAAAGCUUACCAAAGCAUAUCAAACUCCGAAUGCCAUCAAGAUGAUUCAUGGGAGUCAGACCAUACGAGAUAAGUUGGAUGGUCAAAAGGGAAAGAGCCCAGACCUACAGCUAAGGUCCCAAAGUACGUGUUAAGUGGAAAAGGAUGUGGGGAUUCUAAGACAACUAGGACGUUGGCUUAGAAGCAGCCAUUCAUUGAAAGAGUGCGUAAUAGCUCACUAGUCGAGAGUCCCUGCGCCGAAAAUGUCCGGGGCUGAAACACGACACCGAAGCUUAGGAAUGUGUAAACAUUGGUAGAGGAGCAUUGCUGGCGGGAUGAAGCCAUACCGUAAGGAGUGGUGGACUGCCAGGAAGAGAGAAUGCCGGAAUGAGUAGCGAGAUGAAGGUGAGAAUCCUUCAGGCCGAAUAUCUAAGGUUUCCAGAGUAAAGCUGAUCUGCUCUGGGUAAGUCGGGACCUAAGGCGAGGUCGAAAGACGUAGUCGAUGGAUAACAGGUUGAAAUUCCUGUACCGCAUAUAAACAGAACUGUGGGGACACAGACAGGGAAUGGAAUCCGGGAAUGGAUAUCCCGGUGCAAGCGAGGUAGGAGUGCUGUUGGCAAAUCCGCAGCACGAUCUGAAGACGUGACGCGUACCGAACAUAAGUAGGGAAGUCCAGGCCCCUGGCUGUCAAGAAAAGCCGCUAUUGUUUUAUAUGUGCCCGUACCGCAAACCGACACAGGUGGAUGAGGAGAGAAUCCUAAGGCCGACGGGAGAAGUAUUGUUAAGGAACUCGGCAAAAUGACUCCGUAACUUCGGGAGAAGGAGUGCCAUGAGAGUGGCCGCAGAGAAAUGGCCCAAGCAACUGUUUAGCAAAAACACAGGUCUAUGCAAAACCGCAAGGUGAAGUAUAUGGGCUGACGCCUGCCCGGUGCUGGAAGGUUAAGGGGAGAGGUUAGCGCAAGCGAAGCUUUGAACUUAAGCCCCAGUAAACGGCGGCCGUAACUAUAACGGUCCUAAGGUAGCGAAAUUCCUUGUCGGGUAAGUUCC
rnacentral:rRNA from 1 species